rnacentral:tRNA from 1 species
GCCCCCGUGGCCCAAUCGGCAGAGGCAGGCGACUUAAAAUCGUCAUCGGUGUGGGUUCGAGUCCCACCGGGGGCA